GACGAACGCUGGCGGCGUGCCUAAUACAUGCAAGUCGAACGCAGUGGGGACGGGUGAGUAACACGUGGGUGACCUCCCACCAGAGGGGAUAACACUUGGAAACAGGUGCUAAACCGAUAUUGACGGAUGGACCGGCGGUGCAUUAGCUAGUUGGUGAGGUAACGGCUCACCAAGGCGACGAUGCAUACCCGACCUGAGAGGGUGAUCGGCCACACUGGGACUGAGACACGGCCCAGACUCCUACGGGAGGCAGCAGUAGGGAAUCUUCCGCAAUGGACGAAAGUCUGACGGAGCAACGCCGCGUGAGUGAAGAAGGUUUUCGGAUCGUAAAACUCUGUUGUUAGAGAAGCGGUAUCCAACCAGAAAGCCACGGCUAACUACGUGCCAGCAGCCGCGGUAAUAC
rnacentral:rRNA from 1 species